rnacentral:rRNA from 1 species
UCCUACGGGGGGCAGCAGUAGGGAAUAUUGGGCAAUGGGCGAAAGCCUGACCCAGCGAUGCCGCGUGCGGGAUGAAGGCCUUCGGGUUGUAAACCGCUUUCAGCAGGGAAGAAGCGAAAGUGACGGUACCUGAAGAAGAAGCACCGGCUAACUAUGUGCCAGCAGCCGCGGUAAUACAUAGGGUGCAAGCGUUGUCCGGAAUUAUUGGGCGUAAAGAGCUCGUAGGUGGUUCGUUACGUCGGAUGUGAAAACCUGAGGCUCAACCUCAGGCCUGCAUUCGAUACGGGCGAACUUGAGUGUGGUAGGGGAGGCUGGAAUUCCUGGUGUAGCGGUGGAAUGCGCAGAUAUCAGGAGGAACACCAAUGGCGAAGGCAGGUCUCUGGGCCAUAACUGACACUGAGGAGCGAAAGUGCGGGGAGCGAACAGGAUUAGAUACCCUGGUAGUCCGCACCGUAAACGGUGGGCACUAGUUGUGGGAACCUUCCACGGUUUCCGCGACGCAGCAAACGCAUUAAGUGCCCCGCCUGGGGAGUACGAUCGCAAGAUUAAAACUCAAAGGAAUUGACGG